rnacentral:rRNA from 1 species
AUGUGUCCCAAAGGAAAAAAAGGAGGGUUGGGGUUCAAAGAUUUGCAUAGUUUUAAUCAUGCCUUGCUUGCCAAGUAGGUAUGGAGGUUGCUAGCAAGUCCUAACUCUCUUUAUGCACAAAUUCUGAGGGCAAAGUAUUAUCCGGAUGAGAGUCUUUUAGAUGCAAAAAUGAAGAGUGAAAGUUCUUAGACCUAUCAGAGUAUAUGUGCGGGGACCAACACUUUCAACAGAGGAACAAUAUGGCACAUAGGAGAUGGAUCUCAAAGUGAAUACCUAGUCGGAUGCAUGGAUCGUUGA